CACGUGUAGCAGUGAAAUGCGUAGAGAUGUGGAGGAACACCGAUGGCGAAGGCAGCCCCCUGGGAUAACACUGACGCUCAUGCACGAAAAGCGUGGGGAGCAAACAGGAUUAGAUACCAUGGUAGUCCACGCCCUAAACGAUGUCAACUGGUUGUUGGAAGGGUAACCUUUUAGUAACGAAGCUAACGCGUGAAGUUGACCGCCUGGGGAGUACGGUCGCAAGAUUAAAACUCAAAGGAAUUGACGGGGACCCGCACAAGCGGUGGAUGAUGUGGUUUAAUUCGAUGCAACGCGAAAAACCUUACCUACACUUGACAUGCCAGAAAUCCUGCAGAGAUGUGGGAGUGCCGCAAGGAAUCUGGGCACAGGUGCUGCAUGGCUGUCGUCAGCUCGUGUCGUGAGAUGUUGGGUUAAGUCCCGCAACGAGCGCAACCCUUGUCACUAGUUGCUACAUUUAGUUGGGCACUCUAGUGAGACUGCCGGUGACAAACCGGAGGAAGGUCCGGAUGACGUCAAGUCCUCAUGGCCCUUAUGUGUAGGGCUACACACGUCAUACAAUGGUCGGUACAGAGGGUUGCCAACCCGCGAGGGGGAGCUAAUCUCACAAAGCCGAUCGUAGUCCGGAUCGCAGUCUGCAACUCGACUGCGUGAAGUCGGAAUCGCUAGUAAUCGUGGAUCAGCAUGUCACGGUGAAUACGUUCCCGGGUCUUGUACACACCGCCCAUCACACCAUGGGAGUGGAAUCCGCCAGAAGUAGUUAGCCUAACCGCAAGGAGGGCGAUUACCACGGUAGGUUUCAUGACUGGGGUG
rnacentral:rRNA from 1 species